AAUUUACUGACAAAAAGAGUAAAAUAAAGUUGCAAAAGGAAAUUGGAGUUUCAGAAAUACUUUACGGUCUCUUUUUCAAGAUGGUGUAAAAGUAUUUAGGAUUCAAUUUACUUGCAGAUCUUGUUAAAGGAGGUCAUUCUAAUGACUGGUAAAGUAAAAUGGUUUAAUGCAGAAAAAGGUUUUGGUUUCAUCGAGCGUGAAGAUGGAGACGAUGUAUUCGUACAUUUCUCAGCUAUCCAAGCUGAUGGUUUCAAAACACUUGAAGAAGGUCAAGACGUUGAAUUUGAAAUCGUUGAAGGUAACCGUGGCCCACAAGCGGCUAACGUAGUUCGUUUAUAAUUUAAUCAUUAAAAUACAAUGAGGGCUGCCAAUUUGGUAGUCCUCUUUUC
rfam:Oceanobacillus iheyensis HTE831 DNA, complete genome.